AGUGAACGCUGGCGGUAGGCCUAACACAUGCAAGUCGAACGGCAGCACAGUAAGAGCUUGCUCUUACGGGUGGCGAGUGGCGGACGGGUGAGGAAUACAUCGGAAUCUACUCUUUCGUGGGGGAUAACGUAGGGAAACUUACGCUAAUACCGCAUACGACCUACGGGUGAAAGCAGGGGAUCUUCGGACCUUGCGCGAUUGAAUGAGCCGAUGUCGGAUUAGCUAGUUGGCGGGGUAAAGGCCCACCAAGGCGACGAUCCGUAGCUGGUCUGAGAGGAUGAUCAGCCACACUGGAACUGAGACACGGUCCAGACUCCUACGGGAGGCAGCAGUGGGGAAUAUUGGACAAUGGGCGCAAGCCUGAUCCAGCCAUACCGCGUGGGUGAAGAAGGCCUGCGGGUUGUAAAGCCCUUUUGUUGGGAAAGAAAAGCAGCAGGUUAAUACCCCGCUGUUCGGACGGUACCCAAAGAAUAAGCACCGGCGAACUUCGU
rnacentral:rRNA from 1 species